rnacentral:rRNA from 1 species
AUUGAACGCUGGCGGCAUGCUUUACACAUGCAAGUCGAACGGCAGCGACGGGGGCAACCCUGGUGGCGAGUGGCGAACGGGUGAGUAACACAUCGGAACGUGUCCAGUUGUGGGGGAUAACCCAUCGAAAGGUGGGCUAAUACCGCAUGAGCUGGCAACAGGAAAGCGGGGGACCCGCAAGGGCCUUGUGCGAUUGGAGCGGCCGAUGUCCGAUUAGCUAGUUGGUGGGGUAAAGCCUACCAAGGCUUCGAUCGGUAGCUGGUCUGAGAGGAUGAUCAGCCACACUGGGACUGAGACACGGCCCAGACUCCUACGGGAGGCAGCAGUGGGGAAUUUUGGACAAUGGGGGCAACCCUGAUCCAGCCAUGCCGCGUGAGUGAAGAAGGCCUGGUGUAAG